UCUCGGUUUCGCCCACCUCGCUCGCGUGGCCGACCUGUCUCUCCUUGUUCCUCUACCCGUCUCCGGUAUUAAAGCCCCAUCGCCAUUCGCCCAACUCCUCCGUGCUCCCCUCCCUUGGGCGCACGGAUCCAUCGCCGAGGCCGAAUCAAAUACACCGCCACCAAGAGGCCAACCAACGCCAACCACCAUCCUGCGCGCUGGAUCCCUUUGCCUAGCAGCGCGUCUCCGGGACGACCGGUCCAUUCCAUCCAAGAGCGCAUGGUGCCGAGCAUUGCCGGGGCGGCGGUGGCGUCGUCGUCCGCGCACGCGCAUGCGCCGGCUGGGCGGCGGGCCAAGAGGGAGCCGGUCCACAUGCACGCCGGCAUCCGGCGGUCGCGCUCCGAGCCGCACCUCCGCUGCUCCCGCCGCGGCGGGGCCGCGGGCGCGUCGCUCACCACCAGCCGCUCCAUCGGCGUCUUCCCCUUCCAGUUCGGCGCCGCGCCGCUGCGCCCGCCGCCGCUCCCCGACAGCGUCGGCGGCGGCGACUACCGGCUCCUCACCGUGUGCGCCGGCGAGACCGACCCGGACCCGGACCCGGAAAUGCCGCAGGUCAGGACGCCCGAGGACCACUGGCUGGACCGGCUCCUGGAGCUGCGCUCCCGCUUCCACGACCCCACCAAGCGCUUCUUCACCGACAACGACAACCUCUUCGAGGAGCAGGACGACGACGACUACCACGAGGACGGCGGCUGCGGCGUGAACUACGAUGAGGAGCACCCCGCGGCGGAGGCCGAUGACAAGUGGGACCGCGAGUCGUUCGUCAAGCUGCUGGCGCGGGCCCCCCCGGGCGAUGCCCGGCUGUUCGCGCAGCUGGCCUUCCUCUGCAACAUGGCCUACGUCAUCCCGGAGAUCAAGAGGGCUGAGCUGAGGAAACACUACGGACUCGAGCUGGUGACGUCGUCGGUACAGAAGAAGGCCGAGGCCAGCGCCGUGAGCGCUCAGGUGGACGGCGACUCCACACGGCCGCCGGGCGAUGCGCAGCAGUACGAGGUGGCUGCGGAGCCGCAGCCGCGACGGCCGGUCCGCCGCUCCAACCACCUGGCCUACGAGGUGGCCGCGUCGGCCGCGUCCUACGUCCAAGCGCGGGCCCGCGGCCUGCUCUCGCUCCGGGGGCAUCAACACCCACCGGCCGGGGAAGAAGACCGGCUGUACAACUCGGGCAUGGCGGCCUACGUUGCCGCUUCUACGGUCACGGCGGUGGUGGCCGCCGAGGACGAGGCGCGGCAAGAGGCCGCCCGUGACCUGCGGUCGCCGCUGUCCUCACCGUGCCAGUGGUUCGUCUGCGACGAGGCCGACAUGCGCACCCGCUGCUUCGUCAUCCAGGGCUCCGACUCGGUCGCGUCCUGGCAAGCCAACCUCCUCUUCGAGCCCACCACGUUCGAGGACACCGGCGUUCUCGUGCACCGCGGCAUCUAUGAGGCGGCCAAGGGCAUCUACGAGCAGCUGAUGCCGGAGAUCGUGGAUCACCUGAGGGCGCAGAAGGAGGGCGCUCGCCUGCGGUUCACGGGGCACUCGCUCGGCGGCAGUCUGGCGCUGCUUGUGAGUCUGAUGCUGGUGGCGCGCGGGGUGGUCGGCCCGGAGUCGCUGCUCCCCGUGGUCACCUUCGGCGCGCCGUCGGUGUUCUGCGGCGGACAGCGCGUGCUGGAGGCGCUCGGCGUCGGCGAGGGCCAUGUCCGCGCCGUGGCGAUGCACCGGGACAUCGUGCCGAGGGCAUUCUCGUGCCGGUACCCCGGCCACGCCGUCGCCGUGCUCAAGCGCCUCAACGGCGCGCUGCGCACGCACCCCUGCCUCAACAGCCAGAAGGUGCUGUACACGCCGAUGGGCACGACGUACAUCCUGCAGCCGGACGGCAAGGCGUCGCCGCACCACCCGUUCCUGCCGGAGGGCGCGGCGCUGUUCCGGGUGGCCAGCCCGGAGGAGCGCGCGGAGCCGUCGGGGUCGGGGAGGGCCGUGGUGGCCAGCGCCCUGCGCGCGUUCCUCAACUCGCCGCACCCGCUGGAGACGCUGAGCGACCUGUCGGCCUACGGGUCCGAGGGCGCCAUCCUCCGGGACCACGAGUCCGGCAACUACUUCCGGGCGCUCUACGCCCUCACCAAGGUGGCGCCGCGCCGCCGGAAGCAGCCGGAGAUCGUGUGGAGGCUUCCCGGCGUGGAGCGGCUGCAGCAGUACUGGUGGCCGGGGGUCGCCGGCACCGUGGUCCCGAGGCCGGUGGCCGUCCACAGCAAGGAGCUGGUAUCCGAAGCCUGAAUCACUGCGAUUCAAGCAGGCGGUGGCGGGGGUGGUGCAUCAAGGUGACCGGCAUCGGAGGUGAUGAUGGACGACGCUCGUUGUCGGCUGCUGGUCGAAUCAGCACUGUCGUACAGAUCAUUUGCCUAGAGUAAUUACUCCAACUAAGAUAAGCAAGGGAAAAGAAAACGUGUGUGCUGAUUAGAAAUACCUCAAAAUCCAUUAGAGAUGAGAUCAAGGACAACAAGGAGGUUUGUGUCAUUUAGUGAAGGUUUGAUUCUGAUGUUGCCACGGAAGAAACAUUGGAACAAGUGGAUGACAACAGCGACGAAGAGGGUAAGGGUGACAAUGCAGAAGUUGAAACAUAUGAGAGUUUUACCGAAAAUGACUUUGAAGUAGCAGAUGGUGGUGAUUUGGUUGAGGCCAAUGUAGACUAACAUGUUGACGAUCUUAAGAUAAGGAGAUCUUACAUAACUUUGAAGAAUUUGCAUAACAUGUUGACUAUCACUUACACAUUGAUACGUCAAUUUUGCAUCACUA